ACUUAUCCUCAACACAAGACAGCAUCUCCUAUCUUCUCUGCCUCCUCCAUGUAGGACCAAUGUAAUAUAUUUCAGUUUCAUCUGUAAUCUUCAGAGACAGUUUAAUUUAAAGUAAAAUUAGGCAAGUAUCAACAAAGUAUUUGCAUGCGAUAAUAAAAUUACUCCAGAAAUCUGCCAGAAGUCCAUAACAGCCUAAUUGUCAGUUAUAAUUUCACUGUGUCUCCUACAGAGAUUAAGGUGUUCUAUUUUUUCAGGGCUAUGUCAAUUCAGAAACCUGGGCAUUGCAAAGAAAGGCAUGUAAAAUGCUUGCUAAUAUACUUUUCAUAUUGAUUUUUAUAUAAAUUAUAAGAACUUUCUGAAGACAUUGUCUAAGAAUAGAUGAAAAACAAGACCCCUCAGCAUGGUCUUACCCACCUUCAGUGCUGUGGGCCCUAAGGCUGAGGAGAUGCAGGGAGCGAGGAAGCAAUAGAGAGGAGCACGGUGUCAGUGAGACUGCUAGGACAAGUGGGGUUAUUCAUUGUUGUAAGAACUAGUGAACAGCAAGUGGUUUUCAUACAGUCUAUAAAGGGGGUAGGUUUGUGUGUGUGUUUUAUUACUGUGAGACUUUUUGUAAUUCAAAGGAGAAAGUGUGAGACAUGGGAAUAGUCUUCUAAGGACUUUAUGACCUCCGUCUAUUACAAUGUCAGCAUAGAAUUCAUACCAUCUUUAUGGUACUUGUGACUUUUAUAUUGAACUAUAAUUCUGUACCCACUUUGAAGUAUUCUAUUCACUGUGGUGAAUUUUAUUCCCAAGUGCUAGGAAGAAAUAACAAUGUGCUCUGAGAUUAACCAACUACUUCAGUGUAAUACUGGUAGACAAAUUAUUAUCAUCUUUUCCAUGCAACAUUCCUUACACCUUGUACAUAAGCUGCAUGCAUUUUGUUCCCAUAAUGCAGAAUCCUAGGAAAUAGCUUAUGCUUUGAGGGAAAAAAAAAUGCCAUCGAGUGCCUUGAAGCCAAAUCAGUGCAGACUUGUGGUCCUGCUACCUGCCACUUCCAGAAUAGCUUUUUGGAUCAGUUCUCCAUGGAAAGAGCCAUCCUCAUGCCUGCUGAAAGCCCCAGCCACGAGAGACAAGGGCAGCUGUCUCACACAAGGCUGGGAGCUGCUGGUCCGCCAGGCAGUGGUUCACUGAGGCACUAGCAGGAUGGCUGGUCCCUGAGGUUGCCGUACCUGGCCACAUGCUACGGUAUGUAUUAGAGCAUCUAAUAGAUGGUGGUUUCUGUUUAUUUAGAAAAUAAUGAUGGAUUAUAUUCUAGUACAGUUUUCUCAUCUUGCUGUGUAUGGACAUAUACUGUGGGGGAAAGUGAUGCUGAAAAGUGGUCCCACAGAUCACAUUUACUACUCAGGCGUGAGGCCUGCUGAAGUGGAUGAUUUGGUAAGUUAAGUAUUCUUCCAUCAGUAACUGACCAGAUGUUAGUGAAAAAGUUUGAGUAACUCCUCAGUAUUUUCUAUUGGCUGAGCCAUCAGGCUGACACAGCCUGUGUACUUUAGAAUGUAAUUUUGUGCCAAAAUAUCCAUAUUAAAAUGGGAUUCUAGAACAAAAGUGUAUACACAGAAAAGAUCACUGAGCACAGAUUUCCCAUCUCCAUUUUUUUCCUUCUUUUUUGCUUUUUUUUUUUUUUUUUUUUCCAAAUCGGAAGUCAUCAGAGUUGUAUUUUUCCCGAUUAACACAUUCCUUCAUCAACUAUAAUUGCAACCAUUAAAUUAGAUUGCCUCCUGUUAAUCUUCCACUGCUUCAAUCCUAUUAUGCAGGGAAAUAAUGUAAAGUGUCAGAAUUAGAAGAUGCAAGUGCCA
ensembl:lncRNA